UCCCCACUCUCCUCAGAGAAUUCUGCCAGCUCCAACCCAAGUCCCAAAAAGCCCUCUCUCUCUGUUUCAGAUCUUGCUCAAAUCUUAAGACCAUAAUGGAGCAAAAAGCCAGCAGUGAAUGAGACCUCAAAAGUCAAUCUCUAGCCAAAGGCCUGAGAACACACAGAUCCAGAAGUUUCCCAAGUGAAGGUCGCUCUCCAGCAGCCAAGGUCACAGGGCUUAGGACGGCCCUGGCCUCACCCAGGACCUGCUCUGCCCGGAGACUUUCCAGCUCUUGGUGUCGAAAGGACCUGUGUGUGUGGUGUCGGGAGAGUGGCUGUGACCUGGGCUGGGGGCCAGUGGCUUCACCACACGUGCGGAUCCACGGGGAGCUGGGCGCCCCCACGCUCCCCUCUGAGCCAGAGGCAGCGUCUCGGAAGCAGGUGGAUGGGUGGAUCUCCCGUCCCACCAGCCGGCGGGAACUGGUUUAAAUGUUUAAACGCAGGAAAUUGGACUCCAGGUCCAGUCUACUGGGCGAAGACGCAGAGCAAGUGGCCCUGAAUCACUGCCAGGUCGGACCCUGCCACGUUCUGCUGAGAGCAAGUAUUUGAUCUGCUUCCCGAGAGUCGGCCAUGUCCGCUAACACUAGAAAUUAAUCACAGCUUCUGGGAAACACCAGCGAGCGACAAAACGGAUCCGUACGGAAUGGCAGGCAAUUCAGUAUCGUGACUCUGGGGAUGCACGGGCGGUGGGCGCCCCGCAGCCGGAAGAGAGGGGAUGUGCCCGGGCGGGGGGCAGGCAGAGCCGCAGCGGUGACUCUGGGAUCUGCGCGGGAGGGGACGCGCACCGUGGCCGUAAGCGUGGCGGGGACAGAGAUCGCGGGGACCUCACACAGACACCACACGGGGACUGAGCACCACUGGGGCGUCAGUGCAGCAUUUAGUAAUGAGGUGACCUGUGAGGCGAGCCAGCAGCUCCAAAGGGAGCCCCAAGUGCAGGCCUAGUGAGCAGCCCAAAGGGACCCCCAAGCCCACGCAGAGCUGGCCCCUCCGCCUGCAGGCCAAGUUCAUCUGCACGUCCACGGCCGGGAGCCGUCUUCGAGGCGCUCAGCCAGGCACACCCCUGAGGGGCGUGAAGGGCUGGGGGGAGGUCACCAGGCCCGGCCUUGGCCGGCCGCCACCCACAGGCCAAACCCACUCGCCUGACUUUGCGGAUAGUCUUUUGGCCCCAGCUCGUCGUCCUGUGUCCUGCAGCCUCGCCAGGCGCUCUGGCCCUCUGCAAGGACCUUGGUUUCGUGUCACUCCAUUUGGGAGUCAUUUGGUGCAAUCGAGGCACCGGCUCAGCCCGCCGUGCGACAGCUGAGGCUGGGGGACCGUGCGUGCCCUGGGCGGAGGGUGCAGCGCGGCUGGUGGGCGUCAAGGCCGCAGCCCCACCAGCCCUGCUUCUCCAGAGCCCAGCGAGCUGGCGCAGGGGACGUCCAGUGGGAAGCAUCUGCCAACCUCAGCCAGCUGACAUCUGAUGUCAAGAAUUUGCUAAGUGCCCACCAAACAGAGCGUCGCUUAUCAACGGGGUGUGCACACCACAUCUCGUCACACACGUCAUGUGACAGUGACUUCGUCAUCUCCCUGCCCAGCCCUACUCGCCUUCUGGAGGGGACAGGGCAUGGGAGACCUGGAGAGACAGGGAGACUCCACAGAGAGCGUUUGCCGAGCGUGCGCCGCGAGGACCCGACGCAAGGACACUCCCGGGCACACAGUAGGUGCUUGGUCAAUCCCGGCCUCCACGAUGGCCCAGCAGGGCCUGAAGCUCGGAGACGCUCACGGGCGGGAGGGGCCCUGCACCCGCGGCCCGCUGACCAGGAGGGCGGGCCCCAAGGGCAGUGUGGCAGGAGCUCCCCCGAGCGCCUGCCCUGGGGCCUCACCCCUGCGUUUCUACAAAGGGACGUGAUUCUGUUUUAAGCUCCCGUCCUGACUGGGCAGAAGUGGGGUCUCCGUGGGUCAGAGUCCCCCUUUCCGCUGGGGCAGGUGGUGGGACACAUGGGCCGGGGAGAGAGGAAGAGUAUCUGACACCGGGGUGUCUGUGCGGUGAUGGGGUGACCAGCGGUGGAGGGGAGGCUCCCCCAAGUGGAGGGAUGAAGGCGGGCAGACCUUCCAAGGGAGCUGACCCUGGAGUCAGGGUCACACACUCCCGCAGCACCCAGGACCCCCGAGUGGCUCUUGUACUGCCCAACACCCUGCACGGCCCGUCACCCCCACUGUGCUCUCCUAAGGACGCCCCCCCGCCCUGCUGCCCCUGGGUUCUGACCCCAUCCAAGGCCCCUUCCUCCUCCACUUCCUACUCUGGAGGAAGGACUCUCUCCCCUUCUGGCAGCCACGGCCAGCCCGGGGUCCCUGAGACCCGGCAUGCUGGACAAGCCCUAGGAGAACUCCUGAAUCCCGGAGAGCUGCUCUCUCCCCCGUCAGGCUCACCGCAGGGAAGGGACACACGGCAACAUCAGGGGCAGGGCCCGGGGCAGGCCCAGGGGCCCCCCAAACACACACCUGUGAGGUCCUCCCCUAGGGCUGUGGACAGAGUCAGCUCCCCGGCCCCGACGGGUGGCAGCGCACGCGGGUCACCCGCCUUCGCAGAGGGCUGUGGAGCCAGUGGCUACCAGCCCCUCCCGAGGUGGAGGGGACGCCGUGUGGCCCAAAGCCCCCCACGACGUGCACGUGGACUCCCAGUGGCCAGGGUACUCGGGGCCCCAGGCCCUCCCUGGAGCAGGGCAAAGGCCGGCCCUCACUUCGGACCCAGUUAAAUUCCCCACCAGACACACCACCACGGCGGACGGCAGCCUGGGGGACGGGCCUCUUCCUACAGUCGCAGCCCAGGCGCCUUGGCCCGACCCACGUGUCCACCGAGGUUUCUGGUUCCUGCUGGAGAACCAGGGCUGACCCCGCUUGGAGUGGCCGCCCAUCCUCAAGGUGGGGCGUGGCCCUGGAGGGCCUGUGGGGGCUGGCCUCUCAGAUGCUGCCUUUCCACGGACUUAAUUAUGAAGCAGGUGCUGGGAAGAAAGUUCUGGAACUGGAUCCAGAUGGUGGACACACAGCAUAAAUGCACCAAAUGCCACUGAAUCAUACAUUUCAAAAUGACUGACUUCUAUCAGGUGAGUUUUAUCUCUACUUUUAGCAUAAGUAUAUCCCAAAUAUCACAUAGAACACACUUCUUCCAAAAAGGUAUUUAGUGUGUAUUUCAAAUUUCCCCCAAAAUUGAUUUUUAAAAACUUUAACUCAAGCUAGGGCGUGACAGUGUCCCCAGCUACAAGCAAACCUGUGGUGGACUCUCGUGUUCCCUCGCCCUGGCCCCGGCCGGUGGGGCGGUAAAUCCUUGCGGGUUCGUUCCUGAGGGAGGGAGAGAGAAAUAGGGCAGGAGAGAGCCGCGGAGAGUGG